rnacentral:rRNA from 1 species
AUUGAACGCUGGCGGCAGGCCUAACACAUGCAAGUCGAGCGGAGCGGCGGACGGGUGAUUAAUACCUAGUAAUCUGCCUGGUAGUGGAGGAUAACGUUCGGCAACGGACGCUAAUAACGCAUACUCUCAGAUGAGCCUAGGUCGGAUUGGCUAGUUGGUGAGGUAAUGGCUCACCAAGGCUACGAUCCGUAACUGGUCUGAGAGGCUGAUCAGUCACACUGGAAAUGAGACACGGUCCAGACUCCUACGGGAGGCAGCAGUGGGGAAUAUUGGACAAUGGGCGAAAGCCUGAUCCAGCCAUGCCGAAUGUGUGAAGAAGGUCUUCGGAUUGUAAAGCACUUUAAGUUGGGAGGCGUUACCGACAGAAUAAGCACCGGCUAACUCUGUGCCAGCAGCCGCGGUAAUUC